rnacentral:misc_RNA from 1 species
AAAGCUUGCUCUGCUGCACCUCGUGUCUGCUUUUCCUCCGAAAGUUCUUUACUCAAAGACUCAAUUCUUUCUUGAAGUUCUUUAAAAUCAACGGAUUCUCCAUCUCUUGAACCGAUUUCUUCUUCUCGUUCCGGCAUAUUCUCCACAUUUUGCUGAUUUUUCAUGCUUUCCAACUGAGACUUUAAGUAUUCAUUUUGAGAUUUCAUAUCGAUAACCAAUUGUACAAGCUCAUCAUGAUCGUCGGAGAAAUUUUGGCCAUCAGCAACCCUGUCUUCCACGACAACAUGGCCAUUGCCCUCAUGUUUCACGCCGGAUUCCACCUCCACAGACAUUGCCCCCUCUUCCACUCGGCUUUCUGGAGUUCCAUUAACAUCACCUUCCUCCGAAGACAUUGUUCCACUACUUAAUUCCAG